rnacentral:rRNA from 1 species
GACGAACGCUGGCGGCGUGCUUAACACAUGCCAGUCGGACGAAGAGCGAUGGAAGCUUGCUUCUAUCAAUCUUAGUGGCGAACGGGUGAGUAACGCGUAAUCAACCUGCCCUUCAGAGGGGGACAACAGUUGGAAACGACUGCUAAUACCGCAUACGAUCUAAUCUCGGCAUCGAGGAUAGAUGAAAGGUGGCCUCUACAUGUAAGCUAUCACUGAAGGAGGGGAUUGCGUCUGAUUAGCUAGUUGGAGGGGUAACGGCCCACCAAGGCGAUGAUCAGUAGCCGGUCUGAGAGGAUGAACGGCCACAUUGGGACUGAGACACGGCCCAGACUCCUACGGGAGGCAGCAGUGGGGAAUCUUCCGCAAUGGACGAAAGUCUGACGGAGCAACGCCGCGUGAGUGAUGACGGCCUUCGGGUUGUAAAGCUCUGUUAAUCGGGACGAAAGGCCUUCUUGCGAACAGUUAGAAGGAUUGACGGUACCGGAAUAGAAAGCCACGGCUAACUACGUG